AUGGACAAGAAGGCUGCUGGCACCGGCGAGGAUCCCUUCUGCGUCCUCCCCGACGACCUACUCGACCACAUCCUGUCCUUCCUGCCGGGGGACGAUGCCCUGCAGACCUGCAUGCUCAACACCCAGUGGCGCGGCCUCUGGAGGCGCAAGACCAGCCUGCGCUUCAUCUUUGACGAAUGGUCAGGUUUCAGCUGCGAGCGUUUCAGUCAGCUGGCGAAGCUCAUCAUCCACCUCAGGGGGAAGUCGCCUCUGACCUACUGCAAGAUCAAUCCUUGCAUUGACGAGGACUUUGUUGAUUUCACACAAACCAAGCUGCUCAUCAAGUACGCUCUAAGGUGCCAAGUUGAAAAGCUCUCGGUUUGCGAUGAUCAUUUCGGUGACCAAUGGUUACUGCUCGACGGACGUCUCUUCUCCAGGCAGCUGAGACCAUGA
rnacentral:rRNA from 1 species